rnacentral:rRNA from 1 species
GUGAAACCGCGAAUGGCUCAUUAAAUCACACCUAAUGUACUGGAUAGUCUCAGUUACUUGGAUAACUGCGGUAAUUCUGGAGCUAAUACAUGCGCAAAACCGCGACUUUACGGAGCGGUGCCUUUAUUAGAUCAAAACCAAACGGCUUUGCCGUCUCUUUGGUGAUUCUGAAUAACUUUGGGCUGAUCGUAUGGCCACGAGCCGGCGACGUAUCCUUCCAAGGUGUGCCCUAUCAACUGUCGACUGUGAUAUAGACGUUCACAGUGGUUUUGACGGGUAACGGGGAAUUAGGGUUCGAUUCCGGAGAGGGAGCCUGAGAAACGGCUACCACUUCUACGGAAGGCAGCAGGCACGCAAAUUACCCACUGGGCGAAGCCCGAGGUAGUGACGAAAAAUAACGAUACCGGUCUCAUCCGAGGCCCGGUAAUCGGAAUGAGUACACUUUAAAUCCUUUAACGAGGAACAAUUGGAGGGCAAGUCUGGUGCCAGCAGCCGCGGUAAUUCCAGCUCCAAUAGCGUAUAUUAAAGUUGUUGCGGUUAAAAAGCUCGUAGUUGGAUCUCGGCGGCCAGGGGGUGGUUCGCUCUACGGCGUUACUGCCCCAUUUGGCCGUGUGAUUGGCGGAGGUUUCGGGGUGCUCUUCGCUGAGUGACCCGGGGCGCCGUCAGGUUUACUUUGAAAAAAUUAGAGUGCUCAAAGCAGGCUUUCACGCUUGAAUAUUCGUGCAUGGAAUAAUAGAAUAGGAACUCGUUUCUAUUUUGUUGGUUUUCGGAAAUCGAGUUAAUGAUUAAUAGGGACAAUUGGGGGCAUUAGUAUUCAGACGACAGAGGUGAAAUUCUUGGACCGUCUGAAGACUAACUACUGCGA